ACAAGGGUGAAGAGUUCUUGCUUUGAGAGAAAGGAAGGGAGGGCUGGGCAGAACCAUUCCUGCUUACUGAAUAGGGGAAGCAUUGCUGUUGUCAUAGAAACCUGGGUUCAUUAUGAAGACUGUUUUCAAUGGCGAUCCAGGCGGUGUCCUGGAAAAUGAGCAUUGUUGGUGUUUGGACUGAGCUGAGCUUAUGGAUUCCUGGAGCCAUAGAGUUAUCUUCUCAAUUUUUAUCAAUCCUCUAGAAGAGCUGGUGAUUUUAAUUCCCAGGAGGAGCCGUUCUUUGACCCCUCUGUGUUGGACUGACCUAGCAUCUUGUCACUAACAGAUGAAGAUGGAACUGACAUUUAAAAAAUCAGAAAAUAUCACUUUAGCAAAGCCUUAAUUUUCUGCCAGUCAAAGGACUGAGUGUCAUCACAAGGCAGCUAAUGCCUGUAGCUGAGGUUUCUCUGCUUUACCAUAGUAGCCUACUUAAUAUCUCCACCAAUGCACUUAAGGACUGCCUUGAUUCAUAGUUUUCUUCACUUUGUUACUAGACAAACUACAUGAAACUGUUUCCACAUUGUAACAUGGAAUUUGUAAUAAUCUAAAUCUGUCCCAGCUGUAUUUUCUCACUAAUUUGACUCCAGAAUAAAACUUUCUUCCUAUGAGCUGAGAGCCGUGUUUUUGCAUUGACAUUUGUAAGUGUGUAUUUGUAUGUAUACUUACUAAAUAUGUCUCUGAGAUGCCGGGCAUAUUCAUCACUGAACGUUAAAUGAUGUGCUCAUGCCAUUCAUAGAUUAGGAGCUUAUGAGGAAAAAAUGUGGUAUGCAUUUUUCUCCCUUGUAUUCCUCAGCCAACAUCAUUACCUCAGUGCCUAGAUUAUUUCUGUGGGAUAUGACAGAUACUAAUUAUAUAUUUGUGAAAGUCAGUUAAAUCUAUUAUUACUGUGAUAGGUUUUGUGUGUUAUAAUUCUCCUACUGCCUCUUCAUGGUGAUCUGGUGUUUACUAUAUUGCUUAUCUAUUCCCCAUAGUUAUUUAUUCAUGCAAGGGUUUAUCUCAGUAUGUCUCAGAAUACCUAUUACGGUUACCCUCACAUAUUGGCAUUCUGUGUUUUGAAGCUCAAUUUGUCCAGGUAUUGGCCAGAAGAGUCCAUUAAAGGUGCCUGUGGAGCAUUUCCUGAGUCUAAACAUUGCACUGUCUGAGCCCUUGUAUAGAAAGGAAUUAAUGAUGUCCACCUCAAAGAAUCAUUUUGAGGCCUGAAGAGACAGAAAGCAGACACAUGUUGUGUGUGUCUAGUAAGGCAAAUUUCCCUUGCCUCUUUCAUGCAGUCAGUGUGAUGACUCUGGCAUGAAAGUAGUUCAUGAGUACACACAAGGGAGAGCACUUGGCAAGGUAAUGGCAAAUGAACAAGCUCUCACUUCCAUUAUGUGUAUGCAUUCCUAGGUAUCACUGUGUGUGUCCAUGGUGAUGUGAUGAGCUGGGAAGAGGAAAAGCAUCAUUGUAUACCUUCUACUGAUGGAGUCUGCACAGGGUAAAUGUGUUCCCAUGUGCAUAAAUGCUCGGUCAUCUCAGAUGGAUGGAAGGACCAAGGCACUCAGGAGUAAUAUAUUACAUCAGCUGUCCCAGAACUGCAUGGUAGGUUUUGAUUAUUUGCACUUAAAAUGGUGAGUGCCUGCAUGUCUAACUCUUUUUGAUGUUAUUGUAAAUAUCGUUCAUUUACAUACACCUCUUUUAAGAACAGAGUCUCUAAUACAUUUUCUUUAUGUGUGUAGAGGACUGUAUCACAUUACAUCACUUAUACUUGUUGCUUCAAAUAUCACACAGAACUGAGAGAUAGUAAGAGGACAAGGAAAUGUGGACUAUAUUGAAUCAUAUUUUUUCUUGCUGUGUACUGACCUGCAAGGAUUCAAUUCUGGUCCCCCUCCUUUUCAAGCAUCAAGAUGAGCUGGGAAGAGCAGGUUCAGAUAUGCAGACUGGGCACACAAGCAGGGUCUGUGCACUCAAUGGAAGGCCGUGACUGGGCACCUGUCCUGAAUCCAGCACCGGCCUCCACCUUCUCCUCCACCACCCUCCCUGCUCCUCAGCCACCAUUUCUUCUCCUGUGUUGGGCUCCAAACAUGGAUGCUCUUUUGGGGUCUGUGGCUUUCUCAGUUCUGACAGCAACUCUAGACCCCACCUUGAAGAUUAACAUCUCCCUGGGGUGCGAAUGGAGAUUUUCCAUGCCCUCUCUUCCAGGGCUUCUCCAUGCUUGGGUCUGAGACUAGGACUCUCAAGUGUGGCAGAGAAGAGGCAUAGAGGGCAGGCUGGAUAUAUUGGUGUGGUGUGGAAGGCAGGCAGGUGUACUUAGGGAGUUCUGACUUCUCUACCCAACUUGCCUUUAAAUCCAUCUGAAUAUGCCCCCUACUCUGUGACAUACUCAGUGUCUAGAUGCCUUGUUCCAGUUAUAUCUUCUCAAGAAAUUCCUGUUUUGUUAUGCCAUGCCUGAAAUCUUAGGAGCUUUAAAAAGAUCUCCAUCACAUAGCUCUCUCACUUGCAUCUCUGACAAACAAAUGAUGUUGUGUGACUCCAUUGCUUUAACGAGUUGUAAACAAGGAGUCCCUGUUGUUAUGUGGGAUGCCCCUCUCUCCCCCUUCACCUAGCCUUGGGGCGGUCCCAUUAUAGUAGUCUUGAAACCUCAUUAAUAGACUAUGUUGCCUCUCUUCCAAAAGACAGAAAUGGCCUUCUGAAUGGAGACAGUCCACUCUCUCCCUGGUAAGAGUUAAUCCAGGAGGGUCAGCCAACCAGGAGUCCAAAGGACCUCUUCUCAAAAAUGGAGAUCCUUCCCCUAAGCCAAACCAAAAACACAAAAGGGGCUGUACUGAUCCCUUCAUGAGGUAAUGUGCCUCCCCUUCUAUAAGCCAUGCUCCUCUGGCAGUCUCCCUCAGAGCUGCAAUCUUGCAGCCUCUAGGGGUUGCCCACUUUCCUCUCUUUUCUUGGUGUGCUUUCACUAACUCUCUUUCCUUCCCAGACACUGUGACCUUUCUCUAAAUUUCCCUCCCUCCCUACCGUGUGGCUGCUUAUGAACCCUGUGUGUCAGCCAUGCAGACUAAUUCAGAUGGGACAGCUUUCCUCUUUUUCUGUUCGAGAUUUGCAAUUACCUGUCCUGGAGCUUUUCAGGUUUUUCUUUCUCUGUUUUCCUUCUUAGGUUUAUUUAUUAUAUACUAUGUGUGUGAGUAUUUCGCCUGCAUAAAUGUCUGUGUACCACUUGGGUGCCUGGUAUGCAAAGAGGUCAGAAAUGGCAGCAGAUGCCUGGAAUUGGAGUUGUGCAUGGCUGGGAGCCUCCUGGUGGAUGCUGGGAACCAAACCUGGGUCUUCUGCAAGAACAAGUGCUCUAAAGACAUUUGGUUUUCUCUUUUAAACUCUAAUGUCAUUGUCCUCCAGAUGCUAGAGAGAUGUCUAUGUAGUUAAGAGCCCUUUUUCUUGUUGAAGACCCUUGAUCAGUUCUCAGCACCCAUACCAUGUGUAUCUUCAUUUCCUGGGGAUCUGACAUCCUCUUCUGACCUCUUCCAACACCAGAACACAAUGUCUGUAUAUGCAUGCAUGCAGGCAAAAUACCCAUACACAUAAAAUUAUAAACAAUUCUUAACUUUUUAUUGUCAUCAAAAAUACAUUGAGUCUUUUUAAAAAUUGUGUUAUCAAUAAGCCCAAGAAACCCAAAAGGAUUUUCUGUUAUUUCUGGAAUCAAUAUGUGCUGUGGGAUGUGGUUCUAUAUGCUGUGCAUAUACGUUGGUCUCAUUGGUUGGUAAAUCAAGCUGUUUGGCCAAUGGUGAGGCAGAAUAAGGUUAGGCAGUACAUUCAGACUGAACAUGGAGAUGGAGAAGAGUGUAGUUGCAGCAAAUGCUGGGAACUGCCGCCAGGAGAAGCAAGAUGUGAGAGAACAGGUAAUGUCAUGAAGCCAAGUGGCCAAACAUAGGUUAAUAGGAAUGGGUUGAGUUAAGUUCUAAGAGCUAGCUGGCAAGAAGCCUGAGCCAUAUGCCAUACAGUUUGUAAUUAAUAUAAGCCUCUGUGUGUUUACUUGGGACUGAGAGUCUGCAGGACCAGGCAGGAUACAAGAAAACUUGUGGCUACAAUUGGCACCCAGGUGUGAUAUCCCUGGCCUGCUAAUUGCAGCUCAGUUGCCACCUGCAGAGGCCAGAACUUUUUGCUCCCCAGACAUACACUGUGGCCCCUGUCACCCUGUGCCUGUGUCUUUAAGCCCGUCACGGUGCUCCCAAGCCCACAUGGACAGGUGAGCUCUUAAAGAGCCACUAGGGCUGUAAUGAUGGCCCACCCACACGUUGGGGGCACCAGAUGUAGGCAGAAAUCCAAGGGAGUCUGCUUAAGGGGUAGAGGGAAUUUAUUAGGAUGUAAAUUGGAGAGAACAACUCACUAAACAGAAAAAAAGGCAAAAUCAUCUCAGAGUCCUGGAAGGCUGAUAUCCUGUCCCAUGCUCCUCCUGCUGCCUAAGUCAGUCCACACUACCCGAGUCCAGAGGGAGGAGGAGAGCCAGGCAUUCAUGCUCCCCAGGUCUCAAGCCUGCCUGAGGCCAUGCCCUGUGGGCUGGUACCUCAAGGUCAUAGGUGGAACAGGUAUCCACUAAAAUAUGUCUUAUUAAUAAUUGUUUUUGUUUCUAUAGACAGUCAUUUUCUGAGGAAUAUCCUUGGUUAUCCUAGAAAUUGCUUUGUAGUCCAUGCAAGGCCUGAACUCACAGAGAUGCCCACCUCUGUCUUCCAAGUGCUGGGGUUAUUCCCAUGCACCAUAAUUAAUGCCACGCUUCAAUAUGUCUUAAAAUAUAUCAUAAGGAUGAGACGAAUGAUUUGCUUGUUUAGGGUUUUUCUCCUCAUAGUUUAACUACUUUUGAUUAUUUUUAAAAAUGUAUUAUGGUCUGACCUGGAACAGUUAGGGAAAUCUGGCCAGGUAGUGUGACAUCAGUCACGGUUCAUAAUCUCUUCUUAGUUCUUAAGUCUCUUUAUUAACAUGGGGUUUGCUUAGUGCUCUAGUUUAUAUUUCCACAAAAGGACACACCUUAGCACUCUUUUUGCCAGGGCACCAUACACUGGAAAGAACACAGCUGUAUACUGUAGCUAGAGUUUUCCUGCCUGGCCCACAGUCAGGACAAAUCUCUCUCACCUGCCAGUCCCACAGUCGUUCAAACCCGACCAAGUAAACACAGAGACUUAUUUUGCUUACAAACUGUAUGGCCAUGGCAGGCUUCUUGCUAACUGUUCUUACAGCUUAAAUUAACCCAUUUCUAUUAAUCUAUACCUUGCCAUGUGGCUUGUGGCUUACCGGCAUCUUCACAUGCUGUUUCUUAUCGUGGCGGCUGGCAGUGUCUCUCUGACUCAGCCUUCCACUUCCCAGCUUUAUUCUCCUCCUUGUCCCGCCUACACUUCCUGCCUAGCCAAUGGCCAAUCAGUGUUUUAUUUAUUGACUAAUUAGCAACACAUUUGCCAUACAGAACAUCCCACAGCAGUAUACCUUUCAAUACUUAAGCUUAAAUCACAUGUAAGGAAAUCCCCUGCUGUGUUUGUGUUCAGACUUUGCAAACUGAUUUUGCCAUGGUUGAUUUUCCCGAUCUAUGGAGGUUUUUUUCAUGACCUUUCAUCACAGUAACAAAAAAGUAACUAAUGCAACUUGUUAAAGGGAUUUCCAUGAGGAAGUUUUGUUAUGUUUCCUUUUCACCUGCCUCUCAGAACUGAGAAAUUACUCAUAAUUACCUUCCAUACGUAAUCUUAUAUCAUGAUUUUCCUUGAUAAAAAGACUGUUGAUACAUGUGUGAAUUAUUAUAUUUAUGUUAAGAAUGUUCUCAUAUGUUUGUAUUUCUAUUACCAUGUAUGAAGAAUUCAAUCAUAUAUCUUCUUAUUGUUUUGUCAUGAUUUUAAGUUAGUUGAGUUCUGGGACUUGAAGAGGGAAGUAUUAGGAGGACCCCUGACAUACUCAAACACUUCUGGAAAAAGACCAUAGUGAAAUUGGGGAUCCAAGGAGACAGGCUGAGGAAAAAUCUGUUGGCUCUUUUUCAAAUCUACCCUCAAGGGCACAGCAGCACAUUUGAUGGCUAAAACAAGAUAUCAUCCAUGAGAUUUAACGGCACAUGACUGGACUAUGUACUCGCUUGUUUCCUUCUAAACUAAUGAUGAAGUUAAUGUUUGUUGUAGAGAGUCUAGAUGUAUUGUGGUCUUGGAUGACCCAGGGGAGAAAAAUGGAAUGAAGGAGUUUCCGAGACCAUUCAAUGUGGUUCAACUAAGUAGCUAAGUUUCUCUUUACUAAGAUAAGUAUAAUAUGCCAAUUCUGCUUCUUUCAAAUAAGUUUGAGAUUCCUUUGGUGACUUUUUUUGGUCUCUUGUAUCUUACACUGGCAUCAAACUUACAUUGUAAGGAGGAGGGUCUUGGACUCCUGGUCUUCCUUUCUCCACUUAGGGAGUUGGGGGAUUGUAGGCAUGUGCCACCAAUCUGGGCUAAAAGUAGUUUUUUGGUAUUUUGGGGGGAUUUUUUUUGGUUUUGUUUUAUUUGGGUAUUUUAGUGUUCCUAGGCUAUUUAGUGAUGGUGUUGGAGGAAAAUCUUGCAGUUUUCUGCCAUGGAUGGAUUGUGCAUUCCUCUUUAGAGGAAUGUCCAUGUCCCAUAGCUCUACCAUAUAUCCCUUCCUAUACAUUGCUGGUAGUUGCAUAAGCUCACUACCAUAAUAUGCUAAAUUCCUGACAAGAGAUACUUUAUUUCCAAAACCUGAGUUCUGUUGAUUGUGUCCACCUAGAUCCUUGUAGUUAUGCUUCUCAGUUGGUGGCCUUCUAAGGAAGACGUUUUUUGCUUUGAAUGAAAAGUAAGGUGGGAAGGGAGGACUGCAUCUCCAGAGGCAUUUCCCGUGUGCAGGAACAGUUGCACACCACGGUUGACAGAAGCAUAGCAUCAUGACAGCUACCCGGACAACAUUGCUUAUUUUCCGCCUCUACUGAAAAUACUUUCUUUUCUCAUUUAUAUCCUGGUUAGUUUCCUCUCUCUCUAAUCCCUCCAGUUCCUCCCUUCCUCCGACGCCAUCCAGAUCCACCCCCUUUCUGACUCUUGUUAGAGAAGAACAGGCUUCUAAGAGAUGCAAGAAAACAUAUCCAAACUAAUUAGACUAAGAUAAAAUCCAACUAUCACACAGAAGUUAGACAAGGCAAGCCAACAGAAGGAAACAAGAAGCGAAGGAAGGCCAAAGAGUCAGAGACCCACUCUGUCACUCAGUCAGGAGUCCCACAAAAACAUGAGGUGAAAGCUGUAAUGUAGACACGGAGGACCUGGUGCAGAGACAUGCAGGCCCUGUGCACGCUGCUUCAGUCCCUGUGACAGCCUUUUUCAGGAUGUUUCUGCACAAGGUGUCCUAGACUUUAACUUUUUGUUAGGGGAUCAUAUGUGCAUAGCUAAUUAUUGGAUGAAAGUAUUGGAUGAAAUCUGUCACCAUAACAACAAUGUUCAUCUAUGACCUUGACUACUUUUCCAUGGAGACCGCCAUAGACUGGAUGAUUCUGCACAAGGUGUCAGAGACUUUCAAUUUGGGCCAGUUAUUGGUUGAAAUUGUUCAUCUGUUACCAUGACAUCAAUGUUCAUCUAUGACUGUGACUACUUUUCCAUGGAGACCGCCAUAGUCUAUGACAACAGAGUGAUGACAUUUCCAUGGAGACCACCAUAUUCAGGUGAGUAGACUAUGGUCACGCUUCAAGGGAUAUGUUUGGUUUACAGACAAAAAAGCAAAGCUCUGCUUUCCUGCUGGUGGCCGUUUCUCUAAUGGGUAUGCUUUCUCGGGUGAUAACAAGGGUGAAGAGUUCUUGCUUUGAGAGAAAGGAAGGGAGGGCUGGGCAGAACCAUUCCUGCUUACUGAACAGGGGAAGCAUUGCUGUUGUCAUAGAAACCUGGGCUCAUUAUGAAGACUGUUUUCAAUGGCGAUCCAGGCGGUGUCCUGGAAAAUGAGCAUCCCUAGUUUUGGACUGAGCUGAGCUUAUGCAUUCCUGGAGGUGAGCACUGGAUUCUUCCUGAGGGUGGAGAGGAAGAUGCAGGGAUCCCAGACCCAAGUAGGUUCACCCCCACUUCAGGAUUUGUAGCCAGUGUGUCUCCAGAAGGAGAGAAAUUUGAAACUAUUGUGCCUCUUCAGUGUGCUGUUCUGUGCAGGGACGGGUGUGCUGGAGUCAUUGUCCGGGCUAGGUGUUCUGAAGAAGGAAGCAGGAGGGACAUAAGACAAUGUGAGCACACUCUGAUCCCAGUUUCCUGCUCUGUGAAAAGGGGAUGAGAUUGCUCACUCUCAGGAUCGGGGGGACAGUAAGUGAUAAAGCCUAAAGAGAAGUCAAUGAUUACCCUGCAUGUCUCAGAUGAUGAUUUCAAUAUGCAGUUGGUUAGAGGAUUUUCUUUUUCGUUUUUAGUAAUUUGAGGUUUUAUUUGCUUUUGAGACAGCAAUCACUGUGUCCUAUCCUGGCUGAGAACUCUCAGUCAUUCUCCUGCCUCAGCUGCCUCGUGAAGGGACUUCAGGUGUGGGAUACUGUGUGCUUGGCACCAGUUUGGGAUUUUAUUUUCCCUUUUUGUGAUACCCACCCACCAGGUGGCCCUGAUGUCUCCUCAGAAUCCCUGCCAUGAUGCUCUCUGCAUAUGGCACUAAUAUUUCUAAUGAAUCUCUUAUAAAAAGGACAGUCCUAUCAAUGUCCCUCUUGAACAACACACCUGAAACCUUUCCCAUUUCUCAAUUUCUAUUUUCUGCCUGACUUUUGUGAGCUUUUCUGUAUGAUUCAUAGAAAUUUGUUGUUAAAUAUGUGUUUUUCUAACUUUUCUCCUAGCCAUAGAGUUAUCUUCUCAGUUCUCAUCCAUCCUCUGGAAGAGCGGGAGAUUUUAAAUUGUAUCACUGUGUGUGUCCAUGGUGAUGUGAUGAGCUGGGAAGAGGAAAAGCAUCAUUGUAUACCUUCCACUGAUGGAGUCUGCACAGGUAAGGCACCGCCAAUCCAUCCCCCGGGUUUUAUUGCUUUCUCAUUCUGGAUUCCUCAAUUUCAUGUGUUUUCUUUCCUUCAUGCUACGUUGUAAUUUAAAGAGGAUUUAUUCUCUGUGCUUUCCCAUCCCAUAAGCCCACUCUUCUAGCAAUCUCAAGCAUAGUUGCAAUCUUGUAGCCUCUAGGAUCUGCACACUUUUCUCUCUUUUCUAGGUGUCCUUUCACUAACUCUCUUUUCUUCCCUGACACUGUGACCUUUCUCUAAAGUUCCCUCCCUACCAUGUGGCUGCUUAUGAACCCUGCAGGCUUAAUUCAGAUGGGACAGCAUUCCUCUUUUUUCUGCUCAACUCUUUCCUUGGUGCAGCUGAGAUUUGCAAUUACUUGCUCUGGAGAUUUUCAGGUUUUCUUUCUCUGUUUUCCUCCUUAGGUUUAUUUAUUUCAUUCUCCAUGUUUGAGUAUUUUGCCUGCAUAAAUGUCUAUGUACCACUUGGGUGCCUGGUAUGCAAAGAGGUCAGAAUUGGCAUCAGAUCCCCUGGAAUUGGAGUUGUGCAUGGUUGUGAGCCUCCUGGUGGAUGCUGAAACCAAACCUGGGUCUUCUGCAGGAAUAAGUGCUCUAAAGACAUUAGGGUUUCUCUUUUAAAUUCUAAUGUCAUUAUCCUACAGAAGCUAGAGAGAUAUUUCUGUAGUUAAGAACCCUUGUUCUUGUUGAAGACCCUUGGUCAGUUCUCAGAACUCAUAUGGAAGGUCACAACCAUCUGUAACUUCAGUUCCUGGAUUUCUGACAUCCUCUGCUGACCUCUUCCAGCACAGCAAUACAAGAUCUGUACAUGUAUGCACGUGGGCAAAAUAGCCACACACAUAAAAAUUAUAAACAAAUCUUAACCUUUUAUUGUCAUCAAAUUUCCAUUGAGUCUUUUUAAAAAUUAUGUUAUUAAUGAGCCCAAGAAUCCCAAGAGGAUUUGCUGUUAUUUCUGGAAUCAAUAUGUGCUGUGGGAUGUGGUUCUAUAUGCUGUGCAUAUAUGUUGGUCUCAUUGGUUGGUAAAUCAAGCUGUUUGACCAAUGGUGAGGCAGAAUAAGGUUAGGCAGUACAUUCAGACUGAAUAUGGAGAUGGAGAAGAGUGUAGUUGCAGCAAAUGCUGGGAACUGCCUCCAGGAGAAGCAAGAUGUGAGAGAACAAAUAAUGUCAUGAAGCCAAGUGGCCAAACAUAGGUUAAUAGGAAUGGGUUGAGUUAAGUUCUAAGAGCUAGCUGGCAAGAAGCCUGAGCCAUAUGCCAUACAGUUUGUAAUUAAUAUAAGCCUCUGUGUGUUUACUUGGGACUGAGAGGCUACAGUACCAGGCAGGAUACAAGAAAACUUGUGGCUACAAUUGGCACCCAGGUGUGAUAUCCCUGGCCUGCUAAUUGCAGCUCAGUUGCCACCUGCAGAGGCCAGAACUUCCUGUUCCCCCAGACAUACACUGUGGCCCCUGUCACCCUGUGCCUGUGUCUUUAAGCCCGUCACGGUGCUCCCAAGCCCACAUGGACAGGUGAGCUCUUAAAGAGCCACUAGGACUGUAAUGAUGGCCUACCCACACAUUGGGGGCACCAGAUGUAGGCAGAAAUCCAAGGGAGUCUGCUUAAGGGGUAGAGGGAAUUUAUUAGGAUAUAAUUUGGAGAGAACAACUCACUAAACAGAAAAAGGCAAAAUCAUCUCAGAGUCCUGGAAGGCUGAUAUCCUGUCCCAUACUCCUCCUGCUGCCUAAGUCAGUCCACACUACCCAAGCCCAGAGGGAGGAGGAGAGCCAGGCUUUCAUGCUCCCCAGGUCUCAAGCCUGCCUGAGGUCAUCCCUAGGUAGAACAGGUACCCACUACAAAUAUGUCUUUUUGAUAAUUGUUUUUGUUUCUAUAGACAAUGAUUUUCUGAGGAAUAGCCUUGGCUAUCCUGGAAACUACUCUGUAGUCCAUGCAAGGCUUGAACUCACCUCUGCCUGCCAAGUGCUGGGAUUAAACUCAUGCACCAUAAUUAACGACAAAUUUCAAUAUGUCUUAAAAUAUAUCAUAAGGAUGAGAUGAAUGAUUUGCAUGUUUAGGGUUUUUCUCCUCAUAGUUUAACUACAUUUGAUUAUUUUUAAAAAAUGCAUUAUGGUCUGACCUGGAAGAGUUAGGGAAGUCUGGCCAGGUAGUGUGACAUCAGUCGUGGUCGAUAAUCUCUUCAUAGUUCUUAAGUCUCUUUAUUAACAUGAGUUAUGCUUAGUGCUCCAGUUUGUAAUUGCACAAAAGGACACACCUUAGCACUCUUUUUGCCAGGGCACCAUACACUGUAAAGAACACAGUUGUAUACCUUUCAAUACUUAAGCUUAUAUCACAUGUAAGGAAAUCCCCUGCUGUGUUUGUGUUCAGAGUUUGCACACUGAUUUUCUAUCGUUGAUUUUCCUGAUGUAUGGAGGUUUUUUCAAACAGUGGCAGAGCUGCUAAUAGGCUGGAUGGAUGUCAUUUGAUUCACCCACAUGGAAAUCAAUGUGGGUAGAUGGGGAGAUCUUCAACUGCUGGAUUUGUCCCAUUUUCUUUCCCACUGAACUUGACAACUGCCAGUCAUGAGCAUAUGCAGGCUGAUAUAGAAACAGGCCCCUCAGCCCUGCCAACGUUACAGAUCUUGUGGCCCCACAGGGUGCAGAUUGCUCAGCUCCUGGCUCCAACUUGCACCACAGCUUCAGGGCAGUCUAAGUACCAGGGCUACUCAGUCCUUAACUGUAGCUAAGUUUUCCUGCCUGGCCCACAGUCAGGACAAAUCUCUGCCACCUGCCAGUCCCACAACCGCUCAGACCCGACCAAGUAAACACAGAGACUUAAAAUGGUUUCAAACUGUAUGGCUGUGGCAGGCUUCUUGCUAACUGUUCUUACAGCUUAAAUUAAUCCAUUUCUAUUAAUCUAUACCUUGCCACGUGGCUUGUGGCUUACCGGUACUUUACAUCUUCCUUGUCCUGAUGGCGGCAGGCAGUGUCUCUGACUCAGCCUCCUGUUCUCUCAAUUCUCCUCUCUGUUAGUCCCGCCUAUACUUCCUGCCUGGCCACGGGCCAAUCAGUGAUUUAUUUAUUGACCAAUCAGCAACACAUUUGACAUACAGACCAUCCCACAGUACUUAACAGUAGCCACUGACAGAACUCUUCUGUAGGUGCUGGACUCAGUGCUCCUUAACCCUAAUACAAACUGAAAUGUAGAUAGGCUUCGGGAACCCUCCACAGCCAGGACUUUCAUUUUCUCUUUCCUGUCGUCUUACAGCCCUUCUCCUUCUUCAGUAGCAACCCUCCUAGCUCUCUUGACCCCUUUCUACUUCCCCUGCCCUUCUUUCUUUCCUGGCCCCUUGAGGUUUUUCAGCUGUUGCUUCUUCAGCCGUCAGACAGCUGGUUGCCUUGUCUCUUCUUCUACUUGGCCUUACAUCCCCACUGUCAAUGCCAUUCCCCUCUCCUCUAUGUCUACCUGUCCCUGUCCCUCUGUCCUCCCCCUUACCUCUGUCUCAUGCUCCUUACCUGAGACACAGUCUUCAUAGCCCAGGUGGUCAUUGAAACAUGACCCUGCUGCUGCCCUCGCUGAUAGCUGAGAUUACAAGUGUGACCCAUUACACUUGGUUCUGCUGGUGCUAACUCCAUCCCAUCAGCUAUGGUACUGAACAUAGGUAAAGGAGGACAAAGCAAGAGAGGCCUGUUCUUGUGUCUAAUGCUACAACACCAGGUCACACAGCACAGGAGAGCAUCUUCCAGUCAAGCCUGAGCAACCUGAUUGUAUUUGGGACCAACUACAACCAUCUGGAAGACAAUCACAGCCUUGCCUCUCAGCAUCAAUCACCAUCACUCAGGUUUGUGUUUUGUCCCAGUGCAGUUUUGCCUUUUACCACCAAUCACAGUCACCGAGGCUUUGCUUUUAAACCAAUCACAGCUUGUGUCUGACCACUAGACAUACAGUACCUCUCCUAGGCCAUCCCAAAAAGGGCUCCCCUCAGGCUUAUUGGAAAUUAUUUCAUGCCCUUCUAAGUUUCCCUGAGGCUUGUGAUAACUAAAUCCAGUGAAAACAGUUUCACAACAGACAGGCUAGAGCCAUAUCCUAGGACUAGCACAAACCAGUUGUGGUCUUAGGACAGUUUUCUCAGGGUAUCUGUGGAGGGUUGGAGACAUCUGCUGAAGACUUGACAAGUCUGCCUGGCUGUUGGACUCACAGUCUUCUUGCCCAAGGUAGCCAGGGCAGCAAUGAUGUCCACAGCUGCCAAUUAUGUUAGUGCAUGCUUCAUCAUCAUUGCUCAUAGGAAAGAAACAUUAGCAAGUGUUUUUACACCAGAACUCAAAGAUCACCAACAGUGAUUUAAAAACAACCCUGAUUUUGAUAAUGCAUUAGCAGUAUUGAAAAUGGGGGAUCCCCCAAUGACGGAGAAAUGGAAGAGAUCUACAUGAACAGCCUGGACAUGAGUGGGGGUAAUGAAGGGCGAGGGUCGAGGGAAAGAGAGCUUGGGGGAGCGGAAGAUCCCAGAUCGAUCAACAACAGAGAGGGAGAAGAAGGAAUAGGAGACCAUGGUAAAUGAAGACCACAUGAGAACAGGAAGAAGCAAAGUGCUAGAGAGGCCCACAGAAUUCCACAAAGAUACCCCUACAACACACUGCUGGCAAUGGUCGAGAAACAGCCCGAACUGACCUACUCUGGUGAUGGGAUGGCCAAACACCCUAAUUGUCGUGCUAGAAACCUCAUCCAACUACUGAGGGAUCUCGAUGCAGAGAUCCAUGGCUAGGGCCCGGGUGGAGCUCUGGGAGUCCAAUUAGCGAGAAUGAGGAGGGUUUAUAUGAGUGAGAAUUGUUGAGACCAAGGUUGGAUAAAGCACAGGGACAAAUGGCCAAACCAAUGGAAACACAAGAACUAUGAACCAAUGGCUGAGGGGGCACCAACUGGAUCAGGCCCUCUGAAUGGGUGAGACAGUUGACUGGCUUGAUUUGUUUGGGAGGCAUCCAGGCAGUGGGACCGGGUCCUGUGCUCAUUGCAUGAGUCAGUUGUUUGAAACCUGGGGCCUAUGCAGGGUCACUUGGCUCGGCCUGGGAGGAGGGGACUGGAUCUGCCUGGACUGAGUCUACCAGGUUGAUCUCAGUCCGCGGGGGAGGC